AAAAUGUCCCAUUUUUCUAUUGAGCUGCUGUGAUUUAACUUUUCAGGAAAGAAAAACCCUGUAAUCUACUGCAGAUAGCUGAAUUGGGCUGAUACAUGUGCUUUCUGAAAGAAUACCUCUUUUGGCUCCACAAGAAGCAAACAGCUCACUCGAAAGUUCUAGAGCAUUAUACAACGCCUUGAUUUGGGGGAGCCUUGAAGAAACCUUUGCUGGCAAUAGCAAUGACAAUUCAGGGAUUAAUGGUGGAGCUUGUUAGAGGUGGUAACUUCAAA
rnacentral:lncRNA from 1 species